rnacentral:rRNA from 1 species
AACGAACGCUGGCGGCAUGCCUAACACAUGCAAGUCGAACGAGACCUUCGGGUCUAGUGGCGCACGGGUGCGUAACGCGUGGGAACCUGCCUUUAGGUUCGGAAUAAACUCAGAGAAAUUUGAGCUAAUACCGGAUGAUGUCUUCGGACCAAAGAUUUAUCGCCUUUAGAUGGGCCCGCGUAAGAUUAGCUAGUUGGUGGGGUAAAGGCCUACCAAGGCGACGAUCUUUAGCUGGUCUGAGAGGAUGAUCAGCCACACUGGGACUGAGACACGGCCCAGACUCCUACGGGAGGCAGCAGUGGGGAAUAUUGGACAAUGGGCGGAAAAGCCCUGAUCCAGCAAUGCCGCGUGAGUGAUGAA